CAGAAACACAUCUACCCGGUAUGUAACGGCACCCAUUAGUGGCGACCGGGAUGAUAGAAAAUUUAUUUUCCAGUUCGUACAUAACAUGGCAACAUCCCCUACAGACCAUUUACCUCAUUCAUACGGAGUUUCUCACUCCCGUUGCCUCCUUCUGUCUUUCAGCACUCUGAGCUGUUGAGAGAGGGAAAGGGAGAGGAGGGAGGAAGCGCUGUGCUGAAGGUGCUGUGGUGCAUCUUGAAAAUAAAAGCACUCGAGUGGAUGAUUUCAAAAUUCUUCGCAACUGCUGUGAAAUUAUUGGGUGGGACAAAUGCAACUGUCUCCAAUAUUGGUGGAGACACGUCCCUCCUCCCCCCGGUUCCUACGCUUAUGUCCAGUUCACAUUACAUUCCAUACCAGAUAGUAGCAGUAAUGUGCACCUUCACAUUUGAAAACCACCAUAAACAACUAUAGUAGAAGAAGAAUGGUAUCACUGUGAAGCUGUUAGGUAUCGGGGUUUUGUUUCCCUUUUAUUGGGGAGUUUUCUUUUCCUUUAUGUUUGUCUGUGGUUCCGUUACUCAUCCACCAGAUAGCGCCAGAGGCUGCCUCCUGGGCAGGGCGUACCUGUGGUUCAGCGCACCUGUUGGUCAUCAUCUAAUCAUCCUUUAAGAGGAGCGGACUGACUGAACUUCUUCACCUGAGUGUUUGCCAGUGAUGGUGCUCCUUAGUGACACCGUGUGACCUCCUUGUGAAGAGCCCGUUCUGGCCUUCCCGAUAAUCCUCCCUCGAGACGCCGUGGUCUAUACCCACUGGUUGCCUGAGCCCCACAUCCAUCCCCUCAGUUGGAUCUCAAGCCGAACCCGGACCUGCCAGUUAGCAGUCGGACCGUUCCUCAGUUUUCCUCCGCACCUGAACCCACCUGUCCGUCCUCCACCGCAGCCUCCUCGUUGCCACACGGAGCCUCCUCGAUCGAGCCGAACACUGGAACCCGGGUCACCGUCCAGGACCAGAAAUAGGAGACGAUCUCCGAGCCGGUAGCCUACCCUCUCCCCGCAGCAGUUACUCAUCUUCAUAAGUAAGACCGUUCCUGUGUAGCUCACAUUUCCUACCGCCUUAAACUCACCAUCUCUCUGUCAUUCUUCAGUGCGCCAGCGACUCCGUAAUCGUGUCCCUGGAGAAACCCUCAUCCAUCUACCCACUCAUCUGUAUUCAAUAAACAUUGUUUCAUUGA